GAUAAACGCUGGCGGCGCACAUAAGACAUGCAAGUCGAACGGACUUAACCAUAAGUUUACUUUUGGAGCGGUUAGUGGCGGACUGGUGAGUAACGCGUAAGUAACCUGCCUAUCAGAGGGGAACAACAGUUAGAAAUGACUGCUAAUACCGCAUAUGCCAUAGUCAUCGCAUGGUGACAGUGGGAAAGGAGAAAUCCGCUGAUAGAUGGACUUGCGACUGAUUAGAUAGUUGGUGGGGUAAAGGCCUACCAAGUCGACGAUCAGUAGCCGAACUGAGAGGUUAAACGGCCACAUUGGGACUGAGAUACGGCCCAG
rnacentral:rRNA from 1 species